rnacentral:tRNA from 1 species
GGGCCCGUGGUCUAGCGGUAUGACAACACCCUUACAAGGUGUAGGUCGCCUGUUCGAAUAUAAGGUAUUAAGUUAUUAUCAACUUUUGCUUUAUAAGAAAGUCAGGCCGGGCCCA